rnacentral:rRNA from 1 species
GACGAACGCUGGCGGCGUGCCUAAUACAUGCAAGUAGAACGCUGAAGGAGGAGCUUGCUUCUCUGGAUGAGUUGCGAACGGGUGAGUAACGCGUAGGUAACCUGCCUGGUAGCGGGGGAUAACUAUUGGAAACGAUAGCUAAUACCGCAUAAGAGUAGAUGUUGCAUGACAUUUGCUUAAAAGGUGCAAUUGCAUCACUACCAGAUGGACCUGCGUUGUAUUAGCUAGUUGGUGGGGUAACGGCUCACCAAGGCGACGAUACAUAGCCGACCUGAGAGGGUGAUCGGCCACACUGGGACUGAGACACGGCCCAGACUCAUACGGGAGGCAGCAGUAGGGAAUCUUCGGCAAUGGACGGAAGUCUGACCGAGCAACGCCGCGUGAGUGAAGAAGGUUUUCGGAUCGUAAAGCUCUGUUGUAAGAGAAGAACGAGUGUGAGAGUGGAAAGUUCACACUGUGACGGUAUCUUACCAGAAAGGGACGGCUAACUACGUG